AGAAGAUUAGUUUAACAAACAUGAAGUUUCGGCCUUCAAAUUCUUAGUGCUUAACCCUAAGAUCUUCCA
rnacentral:tRNA from 1 species